GGCCGCCCCUGCAGGAUAUGGAGGUUCCCGGGCUAGGAGUCACAUCGGAGCUACAGCUGCCAGCCUACACCACAGCAAUGCCAGAUACAAGCCACAUCCGCAAACUUUAUCACAGUUCACUGCAGCACCGGAUCCUUGACCCACUGAGUGAGGCCAGUGAUCGAACCUACAUCCUCAUGGAUACUAGUCAGAUUCAUUUCUGCUGAGCCACGACGGGAAUUCCAAAAUGAGUUUAUUUUAAUGCACUAGCAUUUAGACGCAGAAUAUGCAUGCAAUAGAUAAUAAUGUCCCUAAUCAUCUUCGAACUUGGCACGUUUGUUCCCUCACCCCUGCCCCAGCGCAGAGCCAGGUCACAAAGGGCCCACAGUGUCCCCACCCCCUUGUGUUGAGACUCCUAGAUUGGCUCCUUAAACAUAGAUUUAUAUUCCUGAAUUCCUAGGAUAACAUCCUCGGUGAUCAUUACAAAAAAGGCGGUAAGAAUGGGCGUGGCGGGGGAGCAGGAAAGUGGGGAGGCAGGUGCAAUGGUUAGCAGAGCAGCAGCCACGUGUUUAUAAUUCAGCCUCAAAAAAGAAGAAGGAAACUGCCCUCUAGUCAGUCAGAGACAGGAAGCCAGAGCAGGGGGCAGUCAGCUAAACAGCCCAUCACACUUCUGAUCGAUUCCUAUGUAUGAACUUACUGCAUGCUGAAAACAACUCUGUGAAGGUAAGUGCUUUUAUUAGCUCCAUUUUACAGAUAAGGAAAUGGAGCCACAGAGACGUUAAGGAACUUGCCCAAGACCACACAGCUCAAAAGUGGCAGAGCUGGGAACCAGAACCCAGCAAUGGGGUUCUGGAACCCAUGACCCCAACACUGAACCAAGCUUCCCAGUGGUCCUCUGGGGGCUGGCAGGGGUGCAAGCCUCCAGCCUCCUGCCGGAAAAAGGGUGGAACAAUGCCCAUAUCCCCUUCAGCUACGCAGGGAGGAGUGUCCUGGAGUCACAGCCCAGAAAGCAAAUACUUUCCAUCCUAAAAUGAUGUUUCCUCUGACACGUGGAACCAAGUGUAUCCAUUUAAUUAUUCAAUCCAGUUAAGUAUUUUUUUCUUUCACCAAUGAAUUCUAGCAACGAAGUCCCACAUUUCCCCAAAGAUCUCCAGCAGAGGGGGUUCUGGGCCAUCCCUACUCACCUACAGAGACGCUGUAGCUCCCAGCACAGAUGGAAAGUUUUAUCGGCUUUAUUUACUUCGCCUGACAUAAUAGGCUGGGGGAGUAUAAAUGCUGAUGUCAUGUCUAAUGAGUGGUGACCUCUGCCCUCCUGGUCCCGGGUCCGUCUGGCUUGUUUGUGUGCAUGGAGCAAUGUCAUAGAGAAUGUCCAUGAACUAGCUUUCCCGUGGAGAUGCUCUAAUUAUCAUUUCAGAAAAAACGCUUUUUGAUGUUGUAUAGACAGUUCAGCAACAUCUCCCCAGCAAGGCUGAUAAUUGAAACACCCUCUCUGUGGGUGAUGGGUUUUUCUGAGGGUGCUAACACCAGAUCCUGGAGAACUGGAAAUCAGGAAUUCAUCUCUGCUUUUCCGUCUGGGACACCUCGCCAAUCUUGGCUCGGGUUGGGUCCUUCGAGGGCCCUAAAGGCGAUUGUUUGCUGUGGGAUGCAUUUUGCCAAGCAUGGGAAAUUCAAAUCGAAACACCAAUGCAGUCAUGGGACCCCGGGGUACCAUUUAUUGUCAUGAAAUUGAACCCUGCAGAAAGAAAAACCAUUCAAUACCUACAGAUACAAAAAUUAAUUGAUAGUGAUAAAUGUCACAAUGUGCUUUUGUUUAAAAAGGAAAAAGAGCAGGGGACUCAUUUGGAUUCCUCAGUGGCUGGGUUCCGUGGAGCUUUGAUGAGGUAAAGACUUUCAACAAAGUUAAUUACUGUCUGGAAACAGUGCUGUCUGCUCGUCCUGCCUCUUUCAGACCCAGGAAAUCUGCCGAGUGCCAUCAGAAGGUCAAGGAGGUGCAUUCCAAGCUUUAUUCCAAGUUUUACAUUGCCUUCUUGACCCUUGAAUGUGAGUCAGUCCUCAAGCCCCCCUGUAUUUUCUCUGAGCUCUGACGGCCCCUGCCCCGUCUGACUCCGGCUGACCAGGCCGGAGCCUGGCUUUGCCUGUGGCUCCUUCUGAGUGUAAGCUGUUCCCCCCCACCCCCGGCCUCUGCCCCAAUUCCAAGCAAAGCCAUUACCAUCAGUGAGGCCUUUGUGCUUCCAGUCAAUGCGAGUUCCAAACCAUGCCCCCCCUGCCCCCUGCACUGCCUUUCACGAAUUUGUGUCUCCAUUCCCCAAAUUCUUGGCCCCCAGCUCAGUGCUGGGGCUGCACCUCAUGGCUCAUUCUCACUGACAUCAUCUGCCCAGCUCCUGGCAACCUGUCCCUCUUUUAUGGGAGGCUUUGGGAGCUCAUUGUCCAUAACAGAUCUAACCUUCAUCCAGAGUGACUUAGUGACCAUCUGAGCCACCCGCAUAGCACUGACAUGGCUUGCUUUAUGCCUCUGCUGCAUCCAUUGCUCCUGAUUUUACUUUGGGGGCUCCCCCCACACACAUUAGUUGUUUUGGUGGGGUUGGUGCCAUUCCCAGGCUUUGCCACGGUAGGAACAGAAGUGCCUGUGAUAUAUCAGAGUGCCACAUUCUGGUGCCGGAGAGGGCCAUGUGACCCACAAGCUUAUACCAAGGAGGUAUAAUCCCAGGAUUAAUGCUAUAAACAUUGAAAGAAAGGCUGUCUUUCUUCUGGGGAUGCCACCAAGGGGAAAACCUACCUGGGAUGAAGCGUCAUGGAAAACUAGAGCAGAGACAUGGGGAAGGAGGGGAGAGAACUAAAAAGAAGAGGUAAGAACUAAAGUGAACCCCUGGAUCCAGCCAUGCUUGAAGCCAGCCAGUGCCUCAUUAUUCAUUUAAAUGAGCCAACAGGAGUUCCGAUGUGACUCAGAGGUAACUGACUAGUAUCCGUGAGGAUGCCGGUUUGAUCCCUGGCCUCCCUCAGUGGGUUAAGGAUCCAGUGUUGCUGUGAGCUAUGGUGUAGGUUGCAGACGCAGCGCAGAUCUGGCACUGAGCUGUGGCAUUACUGUGAGUUGUGGCGUAGGCUGGCAGCCACAGCGCCAAUUUAACCCCGAGCCUAGGAACUUCCAUAUGCCAAAGAUGUGGCCCUAAAAAGAC
rnacentral:lncRNA from 1 species